rnacentral:tRNA from 1 species
GGGUCCGUAGCCUAGCCUGGAUAGGGCGACAGCCUUCUAAGCUGAGGCCAGCCAGUUAAUUACUGCUGCCGCUUACUAGGUCGGGGGUUCAAAUCCCCUCGGACCCG